rnacentral:rRNA from 1 species
UUGACAUACUAAGAACUUUCCAGAGAUGGAUUGGUGCCUUCGGGAACUUAGAUACAGGUGCUGCAUGGCUGUCGUCAGCUCGUGUCGUGAGAUGUUGGGUUAAGUCCGCAACGAGCGCAACCCUUUUCCUUAUUUGCCAGCGGGUAAUGCCGGGAACUUUAAGGAUACUGCCAGUGACAAACUGGAGGAAGGCGGGGACGACGUCAAGUCAUCAUGGCCCUUACGGCCAGGGCUACACACGUGCUACAAUGGUCGGUACAAAGGGUUGCUACCUCGCGAGAGGAUGCUAAUCUCAAAAAGCCGAUCGUAGUCCGGAUCGCAGUCUGCAACUCGACUGCGUGAAGUCGGAAUCGCUAGUAAUCGCGGAUCAGAAUGCCGCGGUGAAUACGUUCCCGGGCCUUGUACACACCGCCCGUCACACCAUGGGAGUUUGUUGCACCAGAAGUAGGUAGUCUAACCGCAAGGAGGACGCUUACCACGGUGUGGCCGAUGACUGGGGUGAAGUCGUAACAAGGUAGGCGUAGAUGA